AUUGAACGCUGGCGGCAGGCCUAACACAUGCCAGUCGAGCGGAUGAAGGGAGCUUGCUCCUGGAUUCAGCGGCGGACGGGUGAGUAAUGCCUAGGAAUCUGCCUGGUAGUGGGGGAUAACGUCCGGAAACGGGCGCUAAUACCGCAUACGUCCUGAGGGAGAAAGUGGGGGAUCUUCGGACCUCACGCUAUCAGAUGAGCCUAGGUCGGAUUAGCUAGUUGGUGGGGUAAAGGCCUACCAAGGCGACGAUCCGUAACUGGUCUGCGAGGAUGAUCAGUCACACUGGAACUGAGACACGGUCCAGACUCCUACGGGAGGCAGCAGUGGGGAAUAUUGGACAAUGGGCGAAAGCCUGAUCCAGCCAUGCCGCGUGUGUGAAGAAGGUCUUCGGAUUGUAAAGCACUUUAAGUUGGGAGGAAGGGCAGUAAGUUAAUACCUUGCUGUUUUGACGUUACCAACAGAAUAAGCACCGGCUAACUUCGUG
rnacentral:rRNA from 1 species